rnacentral:tRNA from 1 species
GGCUAUGUAGCUCAGUGGUAGAGUACUUGCCUAGCACACAUGAAGCCCUAGGUUCAAUUCCUCAGUACCA